rnacentral:rRNA from 1 species
AUUGAACGCUGGCGGCAUGCUUUACACAUGCAAGUCGAACGGUAACAGGUUAAGCUGACGAGUGGCGAACGGGUGAGUAAUGCAUCGGAACGUGCCCGAUCGUGGGGGAUAACGCAGCGAAAGCUGCGCUAAUACCGCAUACGAUCUGAGGAUGAAAGCGGGGGACCGUAAGGCCUCGCGCGAUCGGAGCGGCCGAUGUCAGAUUAGGUAGUUGGUGGGGUAAAGGCUACCAAGCCAACGAUCUGUAGCUGGUCUGAGAGGACGACCAGCCACACUGGGACUGAGACACGGCCCAGACUCCUACGGGAGGCAGCAGUGGGGAAUUUUGGACAAUGGGCGAAAGCCUAAUCCAGCAAUGCCGCGUGCAGGAAGAAGGCCUUCGGGUUGUAAACUGCUUUUGUACGGAGCGAAAAGGCCCUCUCUAAUACAGGGGGUUUAUGACGGUACCGUAAGAAUAAGCACCGGCUAACUACGUGCCAGCCGCCGCCGUAA